AACGAACGCUGGCGGCAUGCCUAACACAUGCAAGUCGAACGAGACCUUCGGGUCUAGUGGCGCACGGGUGCGUAACGCGUGGGAACCUGCCCUUAGGUUCGGAAUAACUCCCCGAAAGGGGUGCUAAUACCGGAUAAUGUCUUCGGACCAAAGAUUUAUCGCCUUUGGAUGGGCCCGCGUUGGAUUAGCUAGUUGGUAGGGUAAAAGCCUACCAAGGCGACGAUCCAUAGCUGGUCUGAGAGGAUGAUCAGCCACACUGGGACUGAGACACGGCCCAGACUCCUACGGGAGGCAGCAGUGGGGAAUAUUGGACAAUGGGCGAAAGCCUGAUCCGGCAAUGCCGCGUGAGUGAUGAAGGCCUUAGGGUUGUAAAGCUCCUUUACCCGGGAUGAUAAUGACAGUACCGGGAGAAUAAGCUCCGGCUAACUACGUG
rnacentral:rRNA from 1 species